UCCUCGUUAGUAUAGUGGACAGUAUCUCUGCUUUGUCACGCAGAAGACCAAGGGUUCGAUUCCCUGACGGGGAG
rnacentral:tRNA from 1 species